GUGGGACUCUGCCCUGAACUGUGGGUCCUGGGGACCUUUCAUUGCUAGUCUUGUCUGCUGUGUGGCUGCCGCUCGGGCAACGGGGCCUGCAGGGCCGCCACUAACCAGUCGCUGAGUCGGCGCUGCUCAGAGGAGCACGAGGCACAGCCCUUGCCAUGCUGGUCGGCAGACAGUAGUUACAGGUGACGAUGCCCACCCAUGAGGACAUAGCAACAAAGAAGGCAGAGGUCCCCGAAGAUGGCCUGGUAAAUGGAAGGACGGAGAUGACAGCACAUUUCUUUCAGAGAAUCAGCUCCACGAGGCCGGGGGUGGCUGCCUGGCUGGGUUGGCUGAGCUCUGGGUUGCUUCCUGGCUCAGUGGGAAGGGCACUGGGCCUGCUCACUGGUCUUUGUCCUGGACAUCAAGCAGGCUGGUGGUGACCUGCACUCAGGUCAUUUGGUGACUUGGGUAGGGCUGGUGGUGCCUGGGUCUCAGAGAAGGUGCAGGUCACUGUGUGAGUUUGUGCCGUGGAUGAAGGGGUGUCGUCUGGCCCACGGAGGAUGAGCAGAUAGUAGCAAAUAGUAGGAGCCAUGUGAGCACAAGUCGCCGAAGUAGAAAGGCCAGGGCGGUUUGGUUAAGCUGCCCCUCCCACCAGACUCUAACUCCGUGUUGGCCAGGCCCGUGUUUGUUCUACCCAGGGCUGCACGGCAAUGCCUGGCGGAGAGCAGGGCACCAGGCAAACACUGCACAUGUGUCCUAGAGGAGUAAGGAGUGGCAGGAGAGUCGCCGUGACCGUCACACACCUGUGCCCACACCAGCGGCAACAGUGAGUCACAACACACUGUGCUCAUCCCGACUCUUCCUGGAGGCUGCAGGCCCCAGACCACAGCCAGGAGCACAGCGACCAGUCCUGCCCCUUGGCCUCCCCGGUGUGCUGCUGCAGCUCAGCUUCAGAAGAGCUUCGCUUCACCUCUGUGCGCUUUAUGAGAGAGCCAGCGGCUCUGCUGGGAUGGAGCACGUCCACAUGGAACGCGUGCAGAGGAAGAGAGGUCCUAGGUCCACGCCACGCCUCCCGCCCGACUAUCAGCCCUAGUACUCGUUGUUUUAUACAACAGGCAGAUUGAUUAUUAGUGGAACCUCAUCAGUACGCUCAUCAUUUCUGUGGCUAGUUUUCUCCCUUGACUGGGAUUCCCGGACUUAUUAGCACAUUACAGAACUCAAACUUUGUGGCCUGUUUGUUUGGAAGAAGUUAUCUUGGGCUUUGAGGAAUCAGAAUUAUUUAAAUAUUUUGAUUGACAACAACAAAGUAAUUUAAUAGCUACACCUCAUUCAGACCAACUGUCUUUUGACAUCUGUCAAGAAACCAGGUUUGCAUGUUAGAUUAUAAUUUGUGUUUGCAUGAUUAAAUGUCAGUGUACUCUAAAAGUUUACAUUCUGUACAGUAGAUUUGUGAUAUUUAAUAAGGAAGUCAUCAGAGAGGGAUUGCUUGGUGCAGCUGGGUUUGUUUCUUGGUCUGAGACUAGUUACAAAUGCAUGUUCAGAUCAUGAAAGUUCACCUGCUUGCUAACUGAUCAUAUGAACCCUUUAUAAUACAAAAUAUGGAAAAGAAUUCAUUUAAUUCAUCCUCUUUUUUCAUCGCAUCUAAGUCUGAAUUCGUUAAGAACACAGGAGAGUUAAACUUGACCACACUGAGGGGUAGCAGAUUAUCUUCAAAGUGAAAGAUUUAGGGUGACUAGAAGUGGGGAGGCUAGCUGAUUUCUGGUCACAUUCACUUUGAAAAAUCAAUUUCACAGAGUUGAUAGGAUUUAGAUCACACUUACCUGUGGAAUUCACAUAACAAAUAGCGCUGUAGGGAAAGGUGAGAGAUGAG
rnacentral:lncRNA from 1 species